rnacentral:rRNA from 1 species
GAGUUUGAUCAUGGCUCAGGAUGAACGCUAGCGAUAGGCUUAACACAUGCAAGUCGAGGGGCAUCACGGGAUUAGCUUGCUAAUCUUGGUGGCGACCGGCGUAAGGGUGCGUAACGCGUAUGCAACUUGCCUGUCAGUGGGGAAUAACCCGGAGAAAUCCGGACUAAUACCGCAUACACUUUGGUUUCCGCAUGGGGACUUUAGGAAAGAUUUAUUGCUGACAGAUAGGCAUGCGUUCCAUUAGAUAGUUGGUGAGGUAACGGCUCACCAAGUCAACGAUGGAUAGGGGAGCUGAGAGGCUUAUCCCCCACACUGGAACUGAGACACGGUCCAGACUCCUACGGGAGGCAGCAGUGAGGAAUAUUGGUCAAUGGGCGAGAGCCUGAACCAGCCAAGUCGCGUGAAGGAAGACGGUCCUAUGGAUUGUAAACUUCUUUAGUAGGUGAGUACAAGCAGUUACGUGUAGCUGUAGCAAGUACCUAG